rnacentral:tRNA from 1 species
AGGGUGAAUAAUCGUUUCCUUUUGCAUAGGAAAAAUGUCCUUUGGACUCACCU